CGCGUAGGCGGUUUUUUAAGUCAGAUGUGUAAUCCCCGAGCUUAACUUGGGAACUGCAUCUGAGACUGGGAGGCUAGAGUACUGGAGAGGGUGGUGGAAUUCCUCGUGUAGCGGUGAAAUGCGUAGAGAUGAGGAGGAACACCGGUGGCGAAGGCGGCCACCUGGACAGUAACUGACGCUGAGGCGCGAAAGUGUGGGUAGCAAACAGGAUUAGAUACCCUGGUAGUCCACGCUGUAAACGAUGAACACUUGGUGUGGAGGGAGUUGACCCCUUCCGUGCCGGAGCUAACGCGUUAAGUGUUCCGCCUGGGGAGUACGGUCGCAAGGCUGAA
rnacentral:rRNA from 1 species